UACGUAGGGUGCGAGCGUUAAUCGGAAUUACUGGGCGUAAAGCGUGCGCAGGCGGUUUUGUAAGCCAGAUGUGAAAUCCCCGGGCUCAACCUGGGAAUGGCAUUUGGGACUGCAAGGCUGGAGUGUGGCAGAGGAGACUGGAAUUCCUGGUGUAGCAGUGAAAUGCGUAGAUAUCAGGAGGAAUACCGAUGGCGAAGGCAGGUCGCUGGGACGGUACUGACGCUGAGACGCGAAAGCGUGGGGAGCAAACAGG
rnacentral:rRNA from 1 species